UGUCUUCUAAAUAAAGACCGGUAUCAACGGCUAAAUGAAUAUUUAACUGUCUCCUUUAACUAAUCAGUGAAACUGAUUUUCCAGUACAAAAGCUGGAAUAAACCCAUAAGACGAGAAGACCCUGUGGAGCUUUAAAUUUAAAACAAGUACUUUACUCUAAAAUACUUAUGUCCAUAAAUUUUAAGUUGGGGCGACUUCGGAGAAAAACCCAACCUCCGAUAAAAGAGGCACACCCUAAAUGAGGCCAACCGGCAAAACCAACAUUGACCCAGUAUUACUGAUCAACGAACCAAGUUACCCCAGGGAUAACAGCGCCAUCUUCUUCAAGAGUUCAUAUCGACAAGAAGGUUUACGACCUCGAUGUUGGAUCAGGACACCCAAAUGGUGUAGCCGCUAUUAAAGGUUCGUUUGUUCAACGAUUAACAGU
rnacentral:rRNA from 1 species